rnacentral:rRNA from 1 species
AUUGAACGCUGGCGGAAUGCUUUACACAUGCAAGUCGAACGGCAGCACGGGAGCUUGCUCCUGGUGGCGAGUGGCGAACGGGUGAGUAAUGCGUCGGAACGUACCGAGUAAUGGGGGGAUAACGCACCGAAAGGUGUGCUAAUACCGCAUACGCCCUGAGGGGGAAAGUGGGGGAUCGCAAGACCUCACGUUAUUCGAGCGGCCGACGUCUGAUUAGCUAGUUGGUGGGGUAAUGGGCCUACCAAGGCGACGAUCAGUAGCGGGUCUGAGAGGAUGAUCCGCCACACUGGGACUGAGACACGGCCCAGACACCUACGGGAGGCAG